rnacentral:rRNA from 1 species
UGGGGAAUAUUGCACAAUGGGCGAAAGCCUGAUGCAGCAAUGUCGCGUGUGUGAAGAAGGCCUUAGGGUUGUAAAGCACUUUCAGCGGGGAAGAAAAGUUUGUGGCUAAUAUCCACAAACCCUGACAUUACCCGCAGAAGAAGCACUGGCUAACUCUGUGCCAGCAGCCGCGGUAAUACAGAGAGUGCGAGCGUUAAUCGGAAUUACUGGGCGUAAAGCGCGUGUAGGUUGAUAUUUAAGUCGGAUGUGAAAGCCCCAAGCUCAACUUGGGAACUGCAUCCGAUACUGGAUAUCUAGAGUAUGGUAGAGGGAAGUGGAAUUUCCGGUGUAGCGGUGAAAUGCGUAGAUAUCGGAAGGAACAUCAGUGGCGAAGGCGACUUCCUGGACCAAUACUGACACUGAGACGCGAAAGCGUGGGGAGCAAACAGG